rnacentral:rRNA from 1 species
GUGCCAGCAGCCGCGGUAAUACGGAGGGUGCGAGCGUUAAUCGGAAUUACUGGGCGUAAAGGGCGCGUAGGCGGUCGCGCAAGUCGGGUGUGAAAGCCCCGGGCUCAACCUGGGAAUUGCAUUCGAUACUGCGUAACUAGAGUCUGGUAGAGGGAAGCGGAAUUCCGCAUGUAGCGGUGAAAUGCGUAGAUAUGCGGAGGAACACCAGUGGCGAAGGCGGCUUCCUGGACCAAGACUGACGCUGAGGCGCGAAAGCGUGGGGAGCAAACAGGAUUAGAUACCCUGGUAGUCCACGCCCUAAACGAUGAGGACUGGACGUUGGGUGCAAUUUGGCACUCAGUGUCGAAGCUAACGCGUUAAGUUCGCCGCCUGGGGAGUACGGUCGCAAGACUGAAACUUAAAUGAAUUGACGG